rnacentral:sRNA from 1 species
CAAGGAGUAACUGCAUGUUUUAACAGCAAGAAAAAAUAAUUUGUACACAAUGUUACUUUUCCUGAUAAAUAGCCACUGGUUGUAAUCAGUUAGGAUUUAUUUUUAUUUUAAAUUCACUAUCAGGUUUGGCAAAUACGUGUAGACCUACAUUUAUUAAAUCAUGAUGGAAAUAUUAUUGAUGCUGCCAGCAUUGCUGCAAUCGUGGCCUUAUGUCAUUUUCGAAGACCUGAUGUCUCUGUCCAAGGAGAUGAAGUAACACUGUAUACACCUGAAGAGCGUGAUCCUGUACCAUUAAGUAUCCACCACAUGCCCAUUUGUGUCAGUUUUGCCUUUUUCCAGCAAGGGUAAGCCUCGCCUUAUUAUGGGCCAAAAUUACAAAUGCAGCUAGGAAUUUUAUUGCUCUACUCAAGUAUGUCAUGUUAAUAUUAAACACUUCUCUUAAUAUUAAAGCACCUUGUAUUUCCUUUCUUUCUUUGUAAGGGCAUUAGUUGGCAAAGAACUUUCUCAGUAGAAGUAACAAAACUCUUAUACUUUGAUGAAGAUACUUCCCAACAUUUUUCUUUUCAUGGGAUACUUAUAAACUUAG